rnacentral:rRNA from 1 species
AGAGUUUGAUCCUGGCUCAGGACGAACGCUGGCGGCGCGCCUAACACAUGCAAGUCGAACGGAGCUGAGAGGAGCUUGCUUUUCUCAGCUUAGUGGCGAACGGGUGAGUAACGCGUGAGUAACCUGCCCUGGAGUGGGGGACAACAGUUGGAAACGACUGCUAAUACCGCAUAAGCCCACGGCCCGGCAUCGGGCUGCGGGAAAAGGAUUUAUUCGCUUCAGGAUGGACUCGCGUCCAAUUAGCUAGUUGGUGAGGUAACGGCCCACCAAGGCGACGAUUGGUAGCCGGACUGAGAGGUUGAACGGCCACAUUGGGACUGAGACACGGCCCAGACUCCUACGGGAGGCAGCAGUGGGGAAUAUUGCACAAUGGGGGAAACCCUGAUGCAGCGACGCCGCGUGGAGGAAGAAGGUCUUCGGAUUGUAAACUCCUGUUGUUGAGGAAGAUAAUGACGGUACUCAACAAGGAAGUGACGGCUAACUACGUGCCAGCAGCCGCGGUAAAACGUAGGUCACAAGCGUUGUCCGGAAUUACUGGGUGUAAAGGGAGCGCAGGCGGGAGAACAAGUUGGAAGUGAAAUCCAUGGGCUCAACCCAUGAACUGCUUUCAAAACUGUUUUUCUUGAGUAGUGCAGAGGUAGGCGGAAAUUCCCGGUGUAGCGGUGGAAUGCGUAGAAUAUGGGGGGGAACACCAGUGGGGAAGGCGGCCUACUGGGCACCAACUGACGGUGAGGCUCGAAAGUGGGGGUAGCAAACAGGAUUAGAUACCCUGGUAGUCCACACCGUAAACGAUGAUUACUAGGUGUUGGAGGAUUGACCCCUUCAGUGCCGCAGUUAACACAAUAAGUAAUCCACCUGGGGAGUACGACCGCAAGGUUGAAACUCAAAGGAAUUGACGGGGGCCCGCACAAACAGUGGAGCAUGUGGUUUAAUUCGAAGCAACGCGAAGAACCUUACCUAAGCUUGACAUCCUUUUGACCGAUGCCUAAUCGCAUCUUUCCCUUCGGGGACAGAAGUGACAGGUGGUGCAUGGUUGUCGUCAGCUCGUGUCGUGAGAUGUUGGGUUAAGUCCCGCAACGAGCGCAACCCUUGCCUUUAGUUGCCAUCAUUAAGUUGGGCACUCUAGAGGGACUGCCAGGGAUAACCUGGAGGAAGGUGGGGAUGACGUCAAAUCAUCAUGCCCCUUAUGCUUAGGGCUACACACGUGCUACAAUGGGUGGUACAGAGGGCAGCAAAGUCGUGAGGCCAAGCUAAUCCCUUAAAGCCAUUCUCAGUUCGGACUGCAGGCUGCAACUCGCCUGCACGAAGUCGGAAUUGCUAGUAAUCGUGGAUCAGCAUGCCACGGUGAAUACGUUCCCGGGCCUUGUACACACCGCCCGUCA